rnacentral:rRNA from 1 species
UACGUAGGGUGCAAGCGUUGUCCGGAAUUAUGUGGCGUAAAGGGCUCGUAGGCGGUCCAUCACGUCGGGAGUGAAAAGCUGGGGCUUAACCCCAGUCCUGCUUCCGAUACGGGUGGACUAGAGGUAGGCAGGGGAGAACGGAAUUCCUGGUGUAGCGGUGAAAUGCGCAGAUAUCAGGAGGAACACCGGUGGCGAAGGCGGUUCUCUGGGCCGAUACUGACGCUGAGGAGCGAAAGCGUGGGGAGCGAACAGG